rnacentral:rRNA from 1 species
GACGAACGCUGGCGGCGUGCCUAAUACAUGCAAGUGGAACGCAUGAUUGAUACCGGAGCUUGCUCCACCAUUAAUCAUGAGUCGCGAACGGGUGAGUAACGCGUAGGUAACCUACCUCAUAGCGGGGGAUAACUAUUGGAAACGAUAGCUAAUACCGCAUAACAGUAUUUAUCGCAUGGUAAAUGCUUGAAAGGAGCAACUGCUUCACUAUGAGAUGGACCUGCGGUGCAUUAGCUAGUUGGUAAGGUAAUGGCUUACCAAGGCGAUGAUGCAUAGCCGAGUUGAGAGACUGAUCGGCCACAAUGGAACUGAGACACGGUCCAU